rnacentral:rRNA from 1 species
UACGUAUGGUGCGAACGUUGUUCGGAAUCACUGGGCAUAAAGAGCACGUAGGCGGUUAAGCAAGUCCAUUUUGAAAUCCCCCGGCCUAACCGGGGAACUGCAUUGGAUACUACUUGACUUGAGUGCAGGAGGGGAGAGUGGAAUUCCAGGUGGAGCGGUGAAAUGCGUAGAUAUCUGGAGGAACGCCGGCGGCGAAAGCGACUCUCUGGUCUGUAACUGACGCUGAGGUGCGAAAGCUAGGGGAGCAAACGGG